AACGUAGGAGACAAACGUUAUCCGGAGUUACUGGGCGUAAAGGGCGUGUAGGUGGUUUUGUAAGUCUGGCGUUGAAAUUUUUCGGCUUAACCGGGAAAGGUCGUCGGAUACUGCAGGACUAGAGGACGGUAGAGGCGUGUGGAAUUCCGGGUGUAGUGGUGAAAUGCGUAGAGAUCCGGAGGAACACCAGUGGCGAAGGCGA
rnacentral:rRNA from 1 species